UUUUGUGUUGUUCUGUCAUGUGUUGUGCUGUUCUAUCUUAUGCUGUUCUGUUCAGUACUUAUCCUUUAGCAAAUCAAAAUCACCCUAAGUUUUUUAUAGUAGUUUGGAUCCAUUCAGUUUCUAUAAGCAUACGGAAAAUAAGAUAAAAUUUCUUUAAACAAAAUUAAGAUGUAGAAAUGAAUUUCAUAACAUAGAUGAGAAACUAUCAUUAUUAGGUAAUUUUAUUUUUCAUGUUUAUAUAAUUGCAGAAUUUUUUGUAUCUGAAUUGACAAUUUGUCAAAUACUCUAAUUGUCAGCUAAACUUUGAUAACAUCACUUUAGUAUUUAA
rnacentral:lncRNA from 1 species